rnacentral:siRNA from 1 species
UCAAACGGUGGUCGCUGGUUGAC